rnacentral:piRNA from 1 species
UGCACUUGUUUGUCUCAACCCAUUAGAC